rnacentral:rRNA from 1 species
GGACCCGCACAAGUAGUGGAGCAUGUGGUUUAAUUCGAAGAUACGCGCAGAACCUUACCAACACUUGACAUGUUCGUCGCGACUCUAAGAGAUUAGAGUUUUCGGUUCGGCCGGACGAAACACAGGUGCUGCAUGGCUGUCGUCAGCUCGUGUCGUGAGAUGUUGGGUUAAGUCCCGCAACGAGCGCAACCCUCACUUUUAGUUGCCAUCAUUAAGUUGGGCACUCUGAAAGAACUGCCAGCGAUAAGCUGGAGGAAGGUGGGGAUGACGUCGAGUCCUCAUGGCCCUUACGUGUUGGGCUACACACGUGCUACAAUGGUAUCUACAGUGGGUUAAUCCCCCAAAAGAUGUCUCAGU